rnacentral:tRNA from 1 species
GGCCCGGUAGCUCAGCUGGACAGAGCAGAAGCGUCCUAAGCUUUUGGUCGGGGGUUCGAAUCCCUUCCGGGUCGCCA